UACCCCGUGGUGUAAUUGGCAACACAGCUGGUUUUGGUCCAGCCAUUCUAGGUUCGAGUCCUAGCGGGGUAGCUA
rnacentral:tRNA from 2 species